rnacentral:rRNA from 1 species
UACGAAGGGGGCUAGCGUUGCUCGGAAUCACUGGGCGUAAAGGGUGCGUAGGCGGGUCUUUAAGUCAGGGGUGAAAUCCUGGAGCUCAACUCCAGAACUGCCUUUGAUACUGAAGAUCUUGAGUUCGGGGAGAGGUGAGUGCAACUGCGAGUGUAGAGGUGAAAUUCGUAGAUAUUCGCAAGAACACCAGUCGGCGAAGGCGGACUCACUGGCCCGAG